GAUGAACGCUGGCGGCGUGCCUAAUACAUGCAAGUCGAGCGAACAGACGAGGAGCUUGCUCCUCUGACGUUAGCGGCGGACGGGUGAGUAACGCGUGGAUAACCUACCUAUAAGACUGGGAUAACUUCGGGAAACCGGAGCUAAUACCGGAUAAUAUAUUGAACCGCAUGGUUCAAUAGUGAAAGACGGUUUUGCUGUCACUUAUAGAUGGAUCCGCGCCGCAUUAGCUAGUUGGUAAGGUAACGGCUUACCAAGGCAACGAUGCGUAGCCGACCUGAGAGGGUGAUCGGCCACACUGGAACUGAGACACGGUCCAGACUCCUACGGGAGGCAGCAGUAGGGAAUCUUCCGCAAUGGGCGAAAGCCUGACCGAGCAACGCCGCGUGAGUGAUGAAGGUCUUCGGAUCGUAAAACUCUGUUAUUAGGGAAGAACAAAUGUGUAAGUAACUAUGCACGUCUUGACGGUACCUAAUCAGAAAGCCACGGCUAACUACGUG
rnacentral:rRNA from 1 species